rnacentral:rRNA from 1 species
GAUGAAGCUGGAGCUUGCUCUGGUGGAUUAGUGGCGAACGGGUGAGUAACACGUGAGUAACCUGCCCUGGACUCUGGGAUAACCCCGAGAAAUCGGAGCUAAUACCGGAUAGGACCCUGUACCGCAUGGUGUGGGGUGGAAAGUUUUUUCGGUCUGGGAUGGACUCGCGGCCUAUCAGCUUGUUGGUGAGGUAAUGGCUCACCAAGGCGUCGACGGGUAGCCGGCCUGAGAGGGUGACCGGCCACACUGGGACUGAGACACGGCCCAGACUCCUACGGGAGGCAGCAGUGGGGAAUAUUGCACAAUGGGCGAAAGCCUGAUGCAGCAACGCCGCGUGCGGGAUGACGGCCUUCGGGUUGUAAACCGCUUUUAGUAAGGAAGAAGCCUUCGGGUGACGGUACUUGCAGAAAAAGGACCGGCUAACUACGUGCCAGCAGCCGCGGUAAUACGUAGGGUCCGAGCGUUGUCCGGAAUUAUUGGGCGUAAAGAGCUCGUAGGCGGUUUGUCGCGUCUGCUGUGAAAACUAGAGGCUCAACCUCUAGCCUGCAGUGGGUACGGGCAGACUUGAGUGGUGUAGGGGAGACUGGAAUUCCUGGUGUAGCGGUGGAAUGCGCAGAUAUCAGGAGGAACACCGAUGGCGAAGGCAGGUCUCUGGGCACUUACUGACGCUGAGGAGCGAAAGCGUGGGGAGCGAACAGGAUUAGAUACCCUGGUAGUCCACGCCGUAAACGUUGGGCGCUAGAUGUGGGGACCUUUCCACGGUUUCCGUGUCGUAGCUAACGCAUUAAGCGCCCCGCCUGGGGAGUACGGCCGCAAGGCUAAAACUCAAAGGAAUUGACGGGGGCCCGCACAAGCGGCGGAGCAUGCGGAUUAAUUCGAUGCAACGCGAAGAACCUUACCAAGGCUUGACAUACCCGAGAACGGGCCAGAAAUGGUCAACUCUUUGGACACUCGUGAACAGGUGGUGCAUGGUGGUCGUCAGCUCGUGUCGUGAGAUGUUGGGUUAAGUCCCGCAACGAGCGCAACCCUCCUCGCAUGUUGCCAGCACGUUAUGGUGGGGACUCAUGAGAGACAGCCGGGGUCAACUCGGAGGAAGGUGGGGAGGACGUCAAAUCAUCAUGCCCC